rnacentral:rRNA from 1 species
AGAGAAUUGGCUGAGUGGUCUAUAGCGAUAAGCUUGAAACUUAUUUUAGUACAAACUACUAACAUCCGUUCGAAUCGGAUAUUCUCUGAAUAAUAUAUACGGGCCAGGGCCGGGUUGGUUAGGCACCUCAUUUGGGUUGAGGAGUAGUUAUGUUCGAAUCAUAAUGACCCGAAAUAACGAAAUGACGUUUGUAAAUUACAAUAGUAAUGUAUUAGAUAUGUAAUGUAAAAUUUCAUCAUAAGCUAUUUGUUUAUGAUGGCAAGUAUAUAAAGAAACUAUUAGGAAUAUCUAGCUAUAUAUCAAAAAGAGUUUUUUAAAUAGUACAUCGAUGAGAGUCGAUGUACUUGAACUUUUGGAAAAAUCCUAUAAAUAAACGAAGUGAAUUGAAAUAUCUUAUUAGCUUCAGGAAUAGAAAUCAAACGAGAUUCUAUGAUUAGUGUGAAUGAAAGUAGAAAAGCCUAAAAGUAAAAUGGAUUAAAAUCUGUUUGAAUAAAGGGGAACCUUCCUCUAAGGCUAAAUAUGAUAUAUAAGCGACAGUGAACUAGUACCGAGAGGGAAAGAUUUGAAAUAGUAGUUUUAUAAGCAGCUCAAGUAAAGUUUAAAUAACAAAUGAGAGCGUACCUUUUGCAUAAUGGGUCAGCAAGUUAAUAUUAGAUGCGAGAAAAGCAUUUUUUCAUAUGUGUGAAAAAAGUAAGUCUUAUUCCUAGAUAAACCGAUUAUUAAAUAAUGAAUUAGUAUCUAAAAUUAGACCCGAAGCCUGGUGAUCUUACCAUGAUCAGGGUUAUAAAAGCCCGAACGGGUUAUCGUUGUAAAGAUAUCCGAAGAAUUGUGGUAAGUUAGUGAAAGACAAUACUGACCAGGAUAGCUGGUUUUCCGCGAAACCUAUAUAAGUAGGUAAUUCAAAUAACAUCAUAGCAGGUACAGAAUUGUGAUCUCAGACAAAUGGUAUUUAACGCUUUGCGCUAAAUACAUUUGUAUAUAUCGGGGGGUCGUGAAGACUUUAUCGGUGAGAAUUUGCUCUCGGAAGGGCAAUGAUGAAUAUUGAAUAAUCGGACAUAGUACGAUAAGGUUGUAUGUCCAAAGGGAAACAGCCCAGAACAAGUGUUUAAGGUUCCAAAAUUAUUGUUAAGUGAAAUUAAGGAAGUUUUUUUCAAAUACAACCAGGAAAUAGGCUUAGAAGCGGCCAUUUUUUAAAGACCUCGUAACAGAGCACUGGUUCAAUUAAUAAGUUAAAAGCACCGAAAAUUUAACGGAUCUAAACAAUAUACCGACACCUUGUCCAUAAGUAUUAAUAAAAUUAUAAUUGUAUUUAUGGGGUAGCGGAACGUUGGGCAAAUCAAAGAUGUAAUCUUUUUAAGAUUAUAUAAUUAUGGGCUUUUGUCUGAACACUUUUCGAGAUUCGGCCGGAAACGGAGAAUCAAGAGGGUAAGUAGGCUAGUCCAUCGACCUUAGGUAGAACUUCUACCUUUGGCAGAUGAUAACCCAAGUGAGAAUGCUGACAUGAGUAACGAAAAAGGGAAUAAUUACCCCCUCGCCUUAAGCUUAUGGUAUUUAUAUAAAGUAACGGCCUCUAAGUUUAUAGACCUGCCCUAAAGGACUAAACGAUGAGAAAAGCUUUUAUGCAGAAUUAACCCGCGGUAGAGUACCGUUGGUUCUGGAAAAAUCUGCAAAUUAUCGAAACCGUACCUAGAUACUACCCCUGUCCAAGUAAGCUAGUAGAGUAUACGAAGGCGUUUGAGCUAACAAUCAUUAAGGAACUCGGCAAAAUGACACCGUAACUUCGGGAUAAGGUGUGCCAUUCUUCCAUCGCCCGGCUUCCGGACGAUGGUUAAGAAUAGGAGGCAUAGAAUGGUGUUGUACGACUGUUUAAUUAAAACAAAGCACUUUGCGUAAGAUGACAAAUCAAAGUAUUGAGUGUGAAUUCUGCCCAAUGUUGGCUGGUUAACGGAUUUACUUAGCUGACUAAAAUAAGCUAGGAUUUGAAGGAACCCCCAAUCAAUGGCGGCCUUACCGAUGAGGGUCCUAAGGUAGCGGAAUACCUUGGCCGUUAAAUGCGGUCUUGCAUGAAUGAUUUAACGAUACAACAGCUGUCUCAAUGAUUGGCUCAGUGAAAUUGGAAUAACUGUGCAGAUACAGUUUACCUCUAGUUAGACGAGAAGACCCUAUGCAGCUUUACUGUUGCUAGUUAUUGGAUAUGAUCAAACGAGUUGUAGUGUAUAAGGUAGUUGGUGAGAUACAAUUGAAACACCUUUACUUAGUUUAUCAUAUCAGUAGAAUACCGCGAAAGCUUUACAAACUACUUCGACGGAUUAAAAUCCGUCGAUGGAAGAGUAAGUGAGUAGGUAAAAUCUACAUUACUUAUCCAAAAAGGAAGAGGGGNUGUAGUGUAUAAGGUAGUUGGUGAGAUACAAUUGAAACACCUUUACUUAGUUUAUCAUAUCAGUAGAAUACCGCGAAAGCUUUACAAACUACUUCGACGGAUUAAAAUCCGUCGAUGGAAGAGUAAGUGAGUAGGUAAAAUCUACAUUACUUAUCCAAAAAGGAAGAGGGGUUUAAUGGUUUUUACCAUUUAACCCGGGAAACAGUUGCUAGUAGACGGUUUAUGCGGGGCACAGAUCCCAUAAAAAGUACCUGGGUGUAUCCAAAGUUAAUUUUGUAAAUUUACUCGGUAUCGCAAGAAAUUGCGUUACCGAGUAAUUAAACAUGUAUAGGCUAGAAUUAUUAAUAUUCUUUCCUAGCGUGUUUUCUUAUUUUACUUUGUUAUAUUUUAUCAAUCGCGAAGCGCUAGAUAAUUNUUAAUGGUUUUUACCAUUUAACCCGGGAAACAGUUGCUAGUAGACGGUUUAUGCGGGGCACAGAUCCCAUAAAAAGUACCUGGGUGUAUCCAAAGUUAAUUUUGUAAAUUUACUCGGUAUCGCAAGAAAUUGCGUUACCGAGUAAUUAAACAUGUAUAGGCUAGAAUUAUUAAUAUUCUUUCCUAGCGUGUUUUCUUAUUUUACUUUGUUAUAUUUUAUCAAUCGC